UCCCACGUCAGUUUCCUGCAGCUGGUAGAGCGUCCGACCGGUGUGCGGAAGGUCGUAGGUUCGACUCCUGUUGGGGGAA